AGUGAACGCUGGCGGUAGGCCUAACACAUGCAAGUCGAACGGCAGCACAGUAAGAGCUUGCUCUUACGGGUGGCGAGUGGCGGACGGGUGAGGAAUACAUCGGAAUCUACUUUUUCGUGGGGGAUAACGUAGGGAAACUUACGCUAAUACCGCAUACGACCUACGGGUGAAAGCAGGGGAUCUUCGGACCUUGCGCGAUUGAAUGAGCCGAUGUCGGAUUAGCUAGUUGGCGGGGUAAAGGCCCACCAAGGCGACGAUCCGCAGCUGGUCUGAGAGGAUGAUCAGCCACACUGGAACUGAGACACGGUCCAGACUCCUACGGGAGGCAGCAGUGGGGAAUAUUGGACAAUGGGCGCAAGCCUGAUCCAGCUAUACCGCGUGGGUGAAGAAGGCCUUCGGGUUGUAAAGCCCUUUUGUUGGGAAAGAAAAGCAGCAGGUUAAUACCCCGCUGUUCUGACGGUACCCAAAGAAUAAGCACCGGCUAACUUCGUG
rnacentral:rRNA from 1 species